rnacentral:rRNA from 1 species
GGCUACUGCAUUACAGUCUUGUCUGCAGGAUCAGGCCUGAUUAGUGAACAUGGAUGGGAGACCACCAAGAGAUCCCAGGUUCGGUAGACU